GCGACCGGAACGUAUUUAUUAGAUAUUAGACCAAUCGCAGCAAUGUGAUUGAGAUGAAUCAAAGUAACUGAUCGAAUCGAAGCUUGCUUCGAUAAAUCAUCUAAGUUUCUGCCCUAUCAGCUCUCGAUGGUAGUGUAUUGGACUACCAUGGCAGUCACGGGUAACGGAGAAUUAGGGUUCGAUUCCGGAGAAGGAGCCUGAGAAACGGCUACUACAACUACGGUUCGGCAGCAGGGAAGAAAAUUGGCCAAUCCUAAUUCAGGGAGCCAGUGACAAGAAAUAGCAAGCUGGGAAACUUAGUUUCUACGGCAUUGAAAUGAGAAAAGUGUUAAUCUCUUAGCGAGGAACAAUUGGAGGGCAAGUCAUGGUGCCAGCAGCCGCGGUAAUUCCAGCUCCAAUAGCGUAUAUUAAAGUUGUUGCAGUUAAAAAGCUCGUAGUUGAACUUCUGUUCAGGUUCAUUUCGACUCGUCGUGUGAAACUGGACAUACGUUUGCAAACUAAAAUCGGCCUUCACUGGUUCGACUUAGGGAGUAAACAUUUUACUGUGAAAAAAUUAGAGUGUUCCAGGCAGGUUUUAGCCCGAAUACAUUAGCAUGGAAUAAUGGAAUAGGACUAAGUCCAUUUUAUUGGUUCUUGGAUUUGGUAAUGAUUAAUAGGGACAGUUGGGGGCAUUAGUAUUUAAUAGUCAGAGGUGAAAUUCUUGGAUUUAUUAAGGACUAACUAAUGCGAAAGCAUUUGCCAAAGAUGUUUUCAUUAAUCAAGAACGAAAGUUAGGGGAUCAAAGACGAUCAGAUACCGUCGUAGUCUUAACUAUAAACUAUACCGACUCGGGAUCGGCUGGAAUAAAUGUCCAGUCGGCACCGUAUGAGAAAUCAAAGUCUUUGGGUUCUGGGGGAAGUAUGGUACGCAAGUCUGAAACUUAAAGGAAUUGACGGAACAGCACACCAGAAGUGGAACCUGCGGCUUAAUUUGACUCAACACGGGGAAACUCACGAGCGCAAGACAGAGAAGGGAUUGACAGAUUGAGAGCUCUUUCUUGAUUCUUUGGGUGGUGGUGCAUGGCCGUUCUUAGUUGGUGGAGUGAUUUGUCUGGUUAAUUCCGUUAACGAACGAGACCUUAACCUGCUAACUAGUCUGCUUGUGAACAACAGGCUGUACUUCUUAGAGGGACUAUUGUGCAAGAAGCCAAUGGAAGUUUAAGGCAAUAACAGGUCUGUGAUGCCCCUAGACGUGCUCGGCCGCACGCGCGUUACAAUGACUGGCGCAGAAAGUAUUUCCUGUCCUGGGAAGGUACGGGUAAUCUUAUUAAUACCAGUCGUGUUAGGGAUAGUUCUUUGGAAUUGUGGAUCUUGAACGAGGAAUUUCUAGUAAGUGCAAGUCAUCA
rnacentral:rRNA from 1 species